rnacentral:rRNA from 1 species
GACGCACGCUGGCUGCGUGCUUAACACAUGCAAGUCGAACGGAAAGGCCCUGCUUUUGUGGGGUGCUCGAGUGGCGACCGGGUGAGUAACACGUGAGUAACCUGCCCUUGACUUUGGGAUAACUUCAGGAAACUGGGGCUAAUACCGGAUAGGAGCUCCUGCUGCCUGGUGGGGGUUGGAAAGUUUCGGCGGUUGGGGAUGGACUCGCGGCUUAUCAGCUUGUUGGUGGGGUAGUGGCUUACCAAGGCUUUGACGGGUAGCCGGCCUGCGAGGGUGACCGGCCACAUUGGGACUGAGAUACGGCCCAGACUCCUACGGGAGGCAGCAGUGGGGAAUAUUGCACAAUGGGCGGAAGCCUGAUGCAGCAACGCCGCGUGCGGGAUGACGGCCUUCGGGUUGUAAACCGCUUUCGCCUGUGACGAAGCGUGAGUGACGGCAAUGGGUAAAGAAGCACCGGCUAACUACGUG